rnacentral:tRNA from 1 species
GCCAGCAUGGUGUAGUGGUUUGAGCAUUGGACUAUGACUCUGGAGCCCAGGGUUUAAUUCCCUGCUCCAGCA